rnacentral:rRNA from 1 species
UACGUAGGUGGCAAGCGUUGUCCGGAAUUAUUGGGCGUAAAGCGCGCGCAGGCGGCUUCUUAAGUCUGAUGUGAAAUCUCGGGGCUCAACCCCGAGCGGCCAUUGGAAACUGGGAGCUUGAGUACAGAAGAGGAGAGUGGAGUUCCACGUGUAGCGGUGAAAUGCGUAGAUAUGUGGAGGAACACCCAGUGGCGAAGGCGACUCUCUGGUCUGUAACUGACGCUGAGGCGCGAAAGCGUGGGGAGCAAACACGG